AGACCACCAGCUAAUGGAUGCGGAGCGGAGGGCCCGCUGACCGCUCUCCGCGCCUGGAGCAGCUUGGCUUGGCUGGAGCUAAGAGCCAGACACACCACUGUGUGGAGGUGGGUGAUGUCUUCCUGUGCUAAAAGGUGAAUAAAUAAGCUCCUCACCUCUCGCGGAACACUCAGGAACACAUCAACAGGUAUUUAGCCACAUCUCCUGAUUUCAUCUUUCAAUGGCAAAGACCUUGAAUCCUGUCCUUAACUGGAGCUCAGACAUUAAUCAACAGGUCUGAUGAGCAUAUGGUGGGGACACCAGAUUUCACUGGAGUCCUCGAGAGAAAAAAAGUCACAGUGAGCAAAGAAGGGGUCUGACAGAGUGGGACAAAUGCAAGCGCAGUGUAAAGCAGAACCGCCAUCUGCCCCCAGUUCCAUUCCAGAUUAGAGUAUGGAUGCUUCCAAGGAAAGAGAGUGCUGUGUAGUAAAACUGAACAUUGUUUCACCAGGGGUCCAAGCCGCCCUGCUGGGAGGCUUCUCUUCAAGAGUUCUGGGUGCCAGAGUGGAAGGCAUUUUCCCAU
rnacentral:sRNA from 1 species